CCAAUAGCGUAUAUUAAAGUUGCUGCAGUUAAAAAGCUCGUAGUUGAAUUUCGGGACCGAUAUAUCGGUCGUGCUUAGGUACGUACUGGUAUUUUCGGUUUUUCCCUUCUGACGAACCUUGAUGUCAUUAAUUUGGUGUCUUGGGGAAUCAGGACUGUUACUUUGAAAAAAUUAGAGUGUUUAAAGCAGGCUCACGCUUGAAUACAUUAGCAUGGAAUAA
rnacentral:rRNA from 1 species